rnacentral:rRNA from 1 species
GUGAGGAAUAUUGGUCAAUGGGCAAGAGCCUGAACCAGCCAAGUCGCGUGAAGGAAGAAGGAUCUAUGGUUCGUAAACUUCUUUUGCAGGGGAAUAAAGUGCAGGACGUGUCCUGUUUUGUAUGUACCCUGAGAAUAAGGAUCGGCUAACUCCGUGCCAGCAGCCGCGGUAAUACGGAGGAUCCGAGCGUUAUCCGGAUUUAUUGGGUUUAAAGGGUGCGUAGGUGGUUUGAUAAGUCAGCGGUGAAAGUUUGCAGCUUAACUGUAAAAAUGCCGUUGAAACUGUCGGACUUGAGUGUAAAUGAGGUAGGCGGAAUGCGUGGUGUAGCGGUGAAAUGCAUAGAUAUCACGCAGAACUCCGAUUGCGAAGGCAGCUUACUAAGCUACAACUGACACUGAAGCACGAAAGCGUGGGGAUCAAACAGGAUUAGAAACCCGAGUAGUCC